GGGAGCGGCGGACGGGUGAGUAACGCGUGGGUAACCUGCCCUGUACACACGGAUAACAUACCGAAAGGUAUGCUAAUACGGGAUAACAUAAGAAAGUCGCAUGGAUUUCUUAUCAAAGCUUUUGCGGUACAGGAUGGACCCGCGUCUGAUUAGCUAGUUGGUAAGGUAACGGCUUACCAAGGCGACGAUCAGUAGCCGACCUGAGAGGGUGAUCGGCCACAUUGGAACUGAGACACGGUCCAAACUCCUACGGGAGGCAGCAGUGGGGAAUAUUGCACAAUGGGCGAAAGCCUGAUGCAGCAACGCCGCGUGAGCGAUGAAGGCCUUCGGGUCGUAAAGCUCUGUCCUCAAGGAAGAUAAUGACGGUACUUGAGGAGGAAGCCCCGGCUAACUACGUGCCAGCAGCCGCGGUAAUACGUAGGGGGCUAGCGUUAUCCGGAAUUACUGGGCGUAAAGGGUGCGUAGGCGGUCUUUCAAGUCAGAAGUGAAAGGCUACGGCUCAACCGUAGUAAGCUUUUGAAACUGUAAGACUUGAGUGCAGGAGAGGAGAGUGGAAUUCCUAGUGUAGCGGUGAAAUGCGUAGAUAUUAGGAGGAACACCAGUUGCGAAGGCGGCUCUCUGGACUGUAACUGACGCUGAGGCACGAAAGCGUGGGGAGCAAACAGG
rnacentral:rRNA from 1 species